AUGGGACCACCUCCUCUGUUUGCAGCCAGCCAGCCAGAUCAGACCUGCGUACUGGUCCACUGGGCUCAGACCAGGAGUGUGGGAGUCUCUUCAGUCCUCAAGUUGUCUCAAAAAGCAUUGACAGUCUCCACGGGGAAGAAAAGAAAGCACAAUGAGGAAGCAGUCUUACGACGGAACUGUCGGGAGACACUGAGAAGCAAAGAUAUGGACACAGCUCCACCUUGCGGUGAAUCAACGCAUAUGCUAAGAUAAAUUGGAUUUCUAUACCUUCUCCCCACAAGGAUUUUGAUGGACACAACAUGAAUGAAUUCAGCAUAAAACAGAUGGAAUAUAAUAAAUGCUCAUAGUAAAUA
rnacentral:lncRNA from 1 species